rfam:Triticum aestivum genome assembly, contig: Triticum_aestivum_CS42_TGACv1_scaffold_487577_6AS
AUGUUGGAUUUUGAGGUGCGUUAGAUCACCCGACGCAAGCAGUGUCAAGAGAAAACUAACCAAUGCAUGUACAAGUUCAUGGAAAUUUAGUGGUCAUUCAUCCAUUCGUUCUAAUUAAUGCCUCGGUAAACAUAACUUCUUGAGAAAAACGAGCGUACUAACGAAAGAAUCACUAGCUUACGCUCUGACCCGAGUAGCAUGGGGCACGUGGAAUCCCGUGUGAAUCAGCAAGGACCACCUUGCAAGGAUAAAUACUCCUGGGUGACCGAUAGCGAAGUAGUACCAUGAGGGAAAGGUGAAAAGAACCCCCGACCACUCACCGUCUACCUUGGUUGGAGAGAUUUUGAAACUGAAC